AUCCAGCUGGCGAGUCCCAAAUAGGACGAAAUGCGUACCUUGGAU
rnacentral:hammerhead_ribozyme from 1 species